UGUAAUUUUCACUCUGUCAGUGCACGCACACAGUAGUGUGCACACUCACAUUCUAUGUGCGUCGCACACAAUGCUUGUAUUUUGCAUGUGCGCGCACACUUAGUCACAAGUUUGACAUUUUUGGCGGUUGGCAAAUUUGUAACUAAGUGUGCGUGCACAUUCAAAAUACAAGCACUGUGUGCGACGCACAUUGAGUGUGAGUGUGCACACUACUUUGUGCGUGCACUGACAGAGUAAAAAUAACAGCCCUGUUCUCAGUGGUGAAUGAUGUUUUGGUAACGUUGCAAUACAGUAUCAUAAUAAACGUUAAGAUAAACUGUUUAAUAGGGAAUACUUUAAAUGGAUAAACAAAUUGAUAAAACUGAAUUGAUUCACACUUAUAUAAGGAUCAACAGCAUUUAUUCAACCGCCAUAUAAAACAGAAAUUGGUUAAAUGAAAAUGGAAAAUGCAUCGAAUAAAGAAAAUCUUCAAUUAUUUGUGUACAGAUGUAUAGGGUGCAACAUUGCGUUCCCGAAACGAUCGCUAGAUCUACAUUGCUGCAAAUUUUGUUGCAGACGCCUGGAAUUUUUGAAUGUUGUAUAUUAACGCUUGACGACUAGCACCAUUAUGCAGAUAAGUGACCGAAAUGAAGGAUGACCUUGCACCGCAAAAUUUGAAAUAAAAAAAUCGCAUUGAAUGUUCCAGUUCUCUUGAUAAUUAAAAAUUCAACAUUUAUGUUUAUAACUUGAACGAAAAUAAAAAUA